GAUGAACGCUAGCUACAGGCUUAACACAUGCAAGUCGAGGGGAAACGACAUCGAAAGCUUGCUUUUGAUGGGCGUCGACCGGCGCACGGGUGAGUAACGCGUAUCCAACCUGCCCACCACUUGGGGAUAACCUUGCGAAAGUAAGACUAAUACCCAAUGAUAUCUCUAGAAGACAUCUGAAAGAGAUUAAAGAUUUAUCGGAGAUGGAUUGGGUUGCGUAUGAUUAGCUUGUUGGCAGGGUAACGGCCCACCAAGGCUACGAUCAGUAGGGGUACUGAGAGGAAGGUCCCCCACAUUGGAACUGAGACACGGUCCAAACUCCUACGGGAGGAAGAAGUGAGGAAUAUUGGUCAAUGGGCGAGAGCCUGAACCAGCCAAGUAGCGUGCAGGAUGACGGCCCUAUGGGUUGUAAACUGCUUUUAUAAGGGAAUAAAGUGAGCCUCGUGAGGCUUUUUGCAUGUACCUUAUGAAUAAGGACCGGCUAAUUCCGUGCCAGCCGCCGCCGUAA
rnacentral:rRNA from 1 species